rnacentral:rRNA from 1 species
GGGUUGUGAGGUUAAGCGACUAAGCGUACACGGUGGAUGCCCUGGCAGUCAGAGGCGAUGAAGGGCGUGCUAAUCUGCGAUAAGCGCCGGUAAGGUGAUAUGAACCGUUAUAACCGGCGAUACCCGAAUGGGGAAACCCAGUGUGAUUCGUCACACUAUCAUUAACUGAAUCCAUAGGUUAAUGAGGCGAACCGGGGGAACUGAAACAUCUAAGUACCCCGAGGAAAAGAAAUCAACCGAGAUUCCCCCAGUAGCGGCGAGCGAACGGGGAGGAGCCCAGAGCCUGAAUCAGCAUGUGUGUUAGUGGAAGCGUCUGGAAAGGCGCGCGAUACAGGGUGACAGCCCCGUACACAAAAGCGCAUGUGCUGUGAGCUCGAUGAGUAGGGCGGGACACGUGGUAUCCUGUCUGAAUAUGGGGGGACCAUCCUCCAAGGCUAAAUACUCCUGACUGACCGAUAGUGAACCAGUACCGUGAGGGAAAGGCGAAAAGAACCCCGGCGAGGGGAGUGAAAAAGAACCUGAAACCGUGUACGUACAAGCAGUGGGAGCACCCUUCGGGGUGUGACUGCGUACCUUUUGUAUAAUGGGUCAGCGACUUAUAUUCUGUAGCAAGGUUAACCGUAUAGGGGAGCCGGAGGGAAACCGAGUCUUAAUUGGGCGUUAAGUUGCAGGGUAUAGACCCGAAACCCGGUGAUCUAGCCAUGGGCAGGUUGAAGGUUGGGUAACACUAACUGGAGGACCGAACCGACUAAUGUUGAAAAAUUAGCGGAUGACCUGUGGCUGGGGGUGAAAGGCCAAUCAAACCGGGAGAUAGCUGGUUCUCCCCGAAAGCUAUUUAGGUAGCGCCUCGUGAAUUCAUCUCCGGGGGUAGAGCACUGUUUCGGCUAGGGGGCCAUCCCGGCUUACCAACCCGAUGCAAACUGCGAAUACCGGAGAAUGUUAUCACGGGAGACACACGGCGGGUGCUAACGUCCGUCGUGAAGAGGGAAACAACCCAGACCGCCAGCUAAGGUCCCAAAGUCAUGGUUAAGUGGGAAACGAUGUGGGAAGGCCCAGACAGCCAGGAUGUUGGCUUAGAAGCAGCCAUCAUUUAAAGAAAGCGUAAUAGCUCACUGGUCGAGUCGGCCUGCGCGGAAGAUGUAACGGGGCUAAACCAUGCACCGAAGCUGCGGCAGCGAACGUAUCACCCAAGACAACUUUACGGAGUUGACGAUUGACGGAGCGAAGCGACGUCAAAGCGUUCAUUAAAGUCGAGUUGGCUUAGGGAUACGUUCGUUGGGUAGGGGAGCGUUCUGUAAGCCUGUGAAGGUGUGUCGUGAGGCAUGCUGGAGGUAUCAGAAGUGCGAAUGCUGACAUAAGUAACGAUAAAGCGGGUGAAAAGCCCGCUCGCCGGAAGACCAAGGGUUCCUGUCCAACGUUAAUCGGGGCAGGGUGAGUCGACCCCUAAGGCGAGGCCGAAAGGCGUAGUCGAUGGGAAACGGGUUAAUAUUCCCGUACUUGGUGUUACUGCGAAGGGGGGACGGAGAAGGCUAUGUUGGCCGGGCGACGGUUGUCCCGGUUUAAGCGUGUAGGUGUGUGUUCCAGGUAAAUCCGGUUCACUUUAACACUGAGGCGU